GUGUCAGCAGCCGCGGUAAUACGGGGGGUGCGAGCGUUGUCCGGAAUCACUGGGCGUAAAGGGCGCGUAGGUGGUUUGAUAAGGGUGUGGUGAAAGUCCGGGGCUCAACCCCGGAUCUGCCGUGCCGACUGUCAAACUCGAGGGCUGUAGAGGCAGACGGAAUUCCGGGUGUAGCGGUGGAAUGCGUAGAGAUCCGGAGGAAGACCGGUGGCGAAGGCGGUCUGCUGGGCAGUUUCUGACACUGAUGCGCGACAGCGUGGGGAGCAAACAGGAUUAGAUACCCUGGUAGUCC
rnacentral:rRNA from 1 species